GCUGCCAUGAAAAACGGUUCGCUAGAAAAAGAAUACCCGUACGCGUCUGCCUCCUCGCCUCGCCUCGACCCUGGCCCGUGCCUAGGCCGAGCCAACCCUAGCCGCCGCCGCACCACGCGCCGCCGCGGCCGACCUCAACCCACCCGCCGCCCCGGCCGCACCUCUUCCCGCUCGCCGCCCCGUCUUGGCGCUCGAGCGCAGCUUCUGGAUCAGGUCAAUGCGGCGGCUCGAGAGGCUGGGGACAAUGCGUCUGCUUGAUGCAAAACGGCGGCGGCGGGAUCCAGCGGGCGCGGGAGAAGGAGAGAUCCGGUGCGGCGGCGCGAAGUCCUUGCAAGUGGAGGCGGGCCUCAGUGGCUGGCAGGGAGAGCUCCAAGGUCAUGGUGGUGAUUCGAUUUUCUGGUAGAGAAAAGAGAGACAGAGGAGGAUCCAUGGUGGAGGAGAGGUAGGAGAAGAAGGACGGGGAAGAUGGAAGGGUGCGGCAGGGGUGCAGCGGUGCGAGGGCAGUGGUGCGCGUGAGGAGCGCCUCUCCUUGGGAGGAUCAGGAAGCAGCGAGUGAAACUCAAAUCCACUUCCGAGCAAGGUACUGGUGUAGAACUACGAAGAAGCAGGCUGACCAGAUGCACACAUACUAGCCGGCAACAAUGAUGAAGGAAGCCAACCAGAUGUGCACGAAACUACACUACAUCAUGCCUAAUUGAAUCCUCCGUUGAGUAACCAGGAACUUGAAGUAGCUUGUGAGGAUUUUAGCAACAUAAUUGGCUCAACUCCAAAGACUAUAGUCUACAAAGAAACAAUGAAGAAUGGAUCUGAGGUUUCUAUCGUAUCAUUAUGCGCCUUUCAAGGUCAUUGGACUAGCCAGCAUGAGCUCUUUUACCGAAACAAGGUUAUUGAUCUGACAAGGUUGAAUCAUGAGAACAUAGCAAAGUCUCUAGGCUAUAUGGCAGAUAGAGUGACCCAUUCUCGAGGAUGUUAGUCUUUGAGUAAAAAUCAAAUGGGACCCUAUACGAGCUUACACCUACAUUCAGCCCAAUUCUUUUGGCUCAGACGAAUGAAAAUAGCCAUCGGCAUCGCCCAAGGUUUAAGAAAUCAUUCUUAUGAGCAGGCUUACGACGUCGUCUAUUGAAGCCCUACCGGCGACACGACGUGACAGCUCUGACUUGUACGUGGGUGUGGGAACGCAGAUCCGCGUUGCCAGUCUACACAAGGCCAUGCUCAACGCGCCGCCACAGGGUUCAUCGCCCGUCUUCGUCAGAUAAGCAAAGUGUUAAAGAAAAUGGAAUGUACCUGAAUAAAUUGCGUGUAUAGAUAUGUAGAGGAUGAACUCAACAAGCGGAUCUUUCAAGGUUAAUUAGCUUUGCACAUUUUAUUAAAUAGAUGCAAUGGCAUAGCACCUUCAGUAUCAUACUUGCACUCACAUGUUGUUCCAACAACACUAUGAAUGCUGCCCAGAAUUACCAUGCCUUUAGCUUUCGCUAUAAGUUCCUAUGAUGCUCCUUUUCAGGUGACUUUUCUUGUGAUUUCUACUUCUAAAAAUUAGAAAGUACCUUUAGAUCAAAGCAGCGGUGUUGUAGUUUUUCUGGGUAUUGGUGCUACUCCAUCUCCAUCUAGCUUAUGGUCUUUGGUCACUGAUUCUGAGGUACGACGUUGUUUUAUUUUAUGUUAAAUCCCAUUUAGCUAGGCACCUCCAUUUAUUGGUUCGGACCGAGCAAAGAUCCUGUCGAGCAGUAUCACUGACUGGAAGCAUAAAUUUUCAAAUCAGUGAUGGGAUAAAUCCUGUUCCUGUGUACCGGUGCUUAGUAGCUAGCGACGUGCGGCUGGUAUUUUUGGUCCUUAUGUAGGUAGCUUCCUGAUGUGCGUGGCUGUGUGUUAAUUCACGACCUAAAAUUAUUUCUGUUGGCUUCAUUUUAGUAAAGAUGGGGUGGGGGGAAAAACUACACCCUAUAUAUGUAAGUUGACUGAAAAUAAUAAUAUGUUUCAGUAGCUAUAUUUCUCUGGUUCCUAACAUGGUUGUAGGCUAGAUGUUCUUGUUGGUUUGUCUUGCCGUAGAAUUUGCCCCUAUUCAUUUGUUACAUAUUUUCUGUAGCUAUUAAGGAAGAAAGUAAGGACAUGCACAGGUCAGAGUCUCCCCAUCAGCAUUUAAUGGCAGGGGCCGCUGCUUUACAGAAGAUGGAUGUGAAACCAAAAUCAUAUUCUACCAACUCUUAUUUAGUGCAUAUUAUCAUUUAGCAGUACGUUGGCCGUGCCUCCACGUGAUCAAUGGAGAUCUUCUGUAGAUGUAUUGCACUUUUGUCAUGCGUUAAACUUCUCAAUGGUUGACCAUGGAAAAUCUGUGUAGUUCUCAUGUUGUACAUAUGUUUCUGGUUUCAAGGAGAAUUCUUACUCCUUUUGGAAUUACCAUCUUUAAACAUUGUAGAUUCCAAUCUCUUGUGUAUUUACAUCAAAGACUGCUUUUUGAUGCUUAUCAUGUACAGUACUAAACUCCUUGCCCCCUACUUCUUCUGUCACAUGUGUUGUUCCCUUGUCAUCAGUGAGCUCUAGAAAACACAACUACAAGGUACUCCCUCCGUAAACUAAUAUAAGGGCAUUUAGAUCACUAUUUUAGUUAUCUCAACACUCUUAUAUUAGUUUACAGAGGGAGUACAAAAUAGUUGCCACUUAGUUAGCAUUUUAGUUAACAGUGUAGACAUGUUAGUAAUACUAUAAUGUUUGACAAUAAAUGAAUUCGACUACAUUCGAACAAACUUAUCUUGCUUCCAAGAAGAGUAAAAUCAUCUGUAAUAAUUUCCCGGAUUUUGCUUAUAUUCAUGUUUCUUAACAUGUUUGGAAUGUCGUUUCCUCCAAAAUGCAGCAUUUACCUUCCAUUUGGAGCAUAGGAUGCAUUUUUUUAUCAGUUGAUGACUGGAAAAACCACUUUUCUGAUAGAAAAACGAUAUCCAUCAGUUAGACUUAAUUAAUUGCCUUCUAGACACACCUUCAAAUAUAUACAAGUUCUCUAAUAAGGUAGUCGUGGGAAGACUAUAUUUUUUGGUUUACAUUGUAAAUGCUUCCGGUGACCACAAAUUUGACUUUCAUUUUUGCUUCUUUUCAGCUUUCAGGUCCUAAAUGAAAAGGUAAGGAUGUACUAGAGCAGUAUGAGAAGACCCAGUUCCAUUAUCUCAGAAGCCAGAAGUUUCCCAUUUAAUAUCUUUGGUUCUAAAAUUUGUUUAAGAAAAUGGUCAUUCUGCUAUUAGCACCACGAUUAUUUGUCAAUUGUAGAUUCUUAAUUGGUUAGAAUUAUUUUAUAUGUUCGAUUCCUUUGGUUCAUAUUUAUUCAACAACAAAAUAUUUUCAAGAUUGGUCAAUUUGAGGAUUAAACAGCAAACAUGUGAAUUGAUGUGGCAUCAAGCUAAGUCUGUUGAUACAUAGCUAUCCUUUUUUGCUUUGCACAAUUAAUCUUGUCACUGGAGAUGUAUGUUAAUCCUGUAGCUUUGCUCAUUUUAUCUUUUGAUUUCAUCUUAGUUAGAAUAUUUUGCCAUGCGUUCAAAAAUUACAUGUUCAUGUGGGUGGAUUGUUUCUCCCGUUGCAACGCACGGGCAUGUUUCCUAGUGUAUAUAAUAAACCAAUCGGUUGCCCUUGGUCGUCCGUCGUGGUUGUUUUGCAAGAAAGCCCCUCAGUUUCCAGGAAAUCAACCCGCCAUCCCUGUUUUAUUACAGAAACAACCCUAUAAGAAUUUCAAUUCAGUCCACAGUCCUUUCCUUCCUCUUAUCCACUCUGCGCCGGCGGCUACGCCCAUUCCGUCGUGCGCCGGCGCCCGACCCGCCGUCGCCGGCGACCACAAGCAACGACCGUUGCACCUCUCCGCGCGCCAGCAUCCUCCUCGACCUCGCCUCUCCGUGCGAACAAACGGCGUCGCCGCCGGCGGCCACGGCCACCAUGCUUGAACUGACGGGCGUUGACGGCACGGGGCUCAUCUUCGAGGUGUUCGCCAUGCUGGCCGACACAUUCUCCGGCGGGGUCUCUUCAUGGCGACGGUGGCGCUGCACCUGUGAGAAAGACAGGUAAGGGAAGAUAUAAAGGAGGAGAGGCAGGGAGAAGGAGAGGGCGCGAGGAACGACGCGGAGGUCCCGUCUCCCGCGUGGGGGGGGCGACGAGCUGCACGGCGGCAGCAGCUGUCCUGCGUGCGGCCAGAGAGAGAGCCGGGAUGAAGAAGGGAAGGAAGAGGUGGCGGGAUCCUGCGCGGCUGGAUUGGUGCCCCGGUGGUGCUACUGCUGCCGUUGGACGCCGGUCGAAGGGACAAGUCCCUAGGUAAGGAAAUAACAUGUGUUGCAUCGGCAUAUUUGAUGCAGAGUAGCUACUGUAAGUUCCUCUCCCUUCUCUAAUAAGCAUUGCGACCUCUCCCUUCUCUAAUUGGUAUUGAGAUUCAAUUGCUAUUCGAUGGAGAGCAGCCACAAAAAGUUCCUCAUUUGAUGCACAUCGGCCACCGAAAACAGAUCUCGCUUUCAAUCUCUCAGCUACAGAGUGGCAUGUAUCUAUAGACUUGCUAAUGUGAUGGCUAAUGCAUGUGUAUUAAUUCAUGAAUUAGCAAAAUAUUUCCCAUGAGAUGUGCUAAUAUACAAAUUUGAUGUUCACAGUGCCCUCCACUUUUCUUUUGUUAUGCCUAUAAGAGAUGACUUUUUUUUCAAUUUUUAAAUAGAAAAGCACAUUAUGGUUGCUCUUAUAUACAACUUAUAAAAAGGAAUUACAAAUAAGAAGAGUGAUGUGUUCACCUCAAAACAAAAUUGCUGAAAUUCACAUGCAUGGUGGCGCCAUACAGCAGGCGCAUGGUGGCAGAGUUCACAAGCUAGAUCUUUGACUGGCGUAAUGGCUUGUCCUAAUGCAGAGAAGGACAGGGUUCAAGUUGUUGGGCCGGUGGCAGGGGCAGCAUGAUGUUUUCGUCAGGUAACAACCUAGCCAUCGACUCAAGAUUUAACUGAACCAAUUCCUUUAAUUAAAGCUCCAAAUCGUUGUUAUUUGAUUCACUAACUGGUUACUAGCAACAACUAAUUGAACAUAUAAUUGUUGAUUUCUGUACAAACAAUAUCUUUAGUUGUUUUCAGAUCUUCAAUAAGGAUCAUCAAGCCCUCUUGUUUUUAUCUGAAGAAUAGACAUUGUAAUUGUGCCUCCAUUACGUCUAAAAGUCAGGUAUCGGAAAAAUGUCAUUAGCAUAUCUCUGUCACGAUGGAAGAUUGGUUAGACAGAAAAAGGACCUCUGGUUAUGUAUGACAUGAUGCAAGGCACAUAUCUCUGAAUGAAGCGCAACAAGAAUUGACAUCCUCUAAUGCUAACUGUUGACCAUUCUUUUCUGAAGUAUCAGGUUAGUAUCCCAUGUGCCCCCUAUUCAUCUGUCAUCGCUGCAUAAAAAUUUAAUGCAGUUUUUAAGCCUAUGUUUAAGGGUAGCUACAUCUUUAUGGACCAACCAUAUUAACAUUUUGAGAUAACAAAUCAACCUUCAUCAUGUACUUAUGUUGUAACUUCUCCCAUCUUUUGUGCUAUUAUCUAAAAGAGGUGUGGAUUGGAAUCAGUUUUUUUUGCUGCACCCCCAUUCCGACGAGGUCACACACAUAUACCACUGGGAAUCCCACGAACCCUAUGUCCGAGCACGAGCGACGGCAAUAGCAUCUGCAAGUACUUGACCAACACGCUACCCGGGUGUGGUAUCCACUAUUGAGGCCAAGCAACCUAGCUCGGUCAUCCUUAAGUGUGUUUGUGUCCACCACCUGAUGAAGAACGGGGAGAAGAUUGCUGACUUUGUGCCUAAUGAUGGUUGCCUGAACUUCGUAGAGCAAAUUGACGAGGUGUUGAUUGCUGAAUUUGGUCUUAAGAGGCACGUCGUGGGAAAUAUCCCUUGUGGCAGGUUCAAAGUUGUGAUGGUAUCUGGUGUCUCCCAGCGAGAUUUGUUCCUUCUCUUAACAGUUACUAUUAAGAACAAAUUUAUGUUUCCAUCAAAAAAGUUGGCCGGCCCCAGCAAAAAAAAGAACAGUUCCAGCAAAAAAAGAUCGCCGCCGUGGUCACAGGUGUCAACAAGCAGUCUUCAGAAUCAUCAAUAAGCCAACAGCGAGAAAUAAGUUUAAGAAUUGAGUUCCCUUAACAGGGAAAUAAGGAAGGGAAGAAACAAAUAGGGAACAAUCAGACGAAGCAUCAAGGAAAAUGGAUUGAACAAUCAGAUGAAGCAUCCAUCUCGAGGAGAAGCAUGGUCUGCAAGGAGACCAAUCAUCUUGAGGUGGUUCUUUCAGCUACUGCAUGUUCCAUUAUGGAGAAGGGUACUUAGUCGAUCUUAGGAGCCAGACUCUGCUUUCCUUGCAGGGAGAAUUUUAAUAAAUGGUGAUAUUACUCUCCCAACAAUUCUUUUAUCACUACAAAAUGUGUAGGAACCUUAUUUUUCCCUGAGAUACUGUAAUUGAGGAACCGAGAGCCGCGACGGAACAUUGUAUUUUGCACUACAUCCUGUAUUUGCUUUGUGGGAAGCUGGCUUGAGGACAAGUAUGUCACUCCAUUUUCGCUAAUGCUGUUGUUCACUCUGCAAUAGGAUGGAUGAACAUGGUUUUCUUUAUUUUACAGCAUAUGUGUUGUGGUCGGAUACAUGAUUGCAACAAGAUUCCCAACUAGAAGAGGAGUCACCCAGCAGAGUUUUGCAAAUUAUCAUCACUUACAAGCCUCCAACUUGAUCCAUGAUUUAUGAUCAGCAGAAAACAUUGUACAAUUUAAAAUUGUCACAACCCAUGUAUUCUGUGAUGCCCAAUAGAAAUAGCAUCGAUUAUUUGGUAUGAAGAUGCUUGCACAGCCAAGUUUUAUUCUGGACUAAACAAGCCCAAGAUGAUACAUUUGCAAAUAUUUUACAUGUAAGGUCAGAUGACAAAAAUCUCGAUAAGCUUUCGACAUAGUUGACCUUUCUUUGGGUGAAGGAAUAGGCACUUGAAUGCCACAGAGAUACACCGUCUCAUGUCUUCGGUCUCAUCAGUGUCAUUGGAUGUGAAUAUCUCCAUUAUGCUUUGACUCAUUCAUCAGAGCGCAGUAUGUAUCACCCCUCAAGAGCUUAUUUCAGAUUUAGAAUCCUUACUUUUCAAGCUAUCUAAAUAAUCCUGAUUUCUUGCUUAUGUCUUUUUCAUUUGCAGAUAUCAGUUUAGUUAGUAAUGUGUUUCACUCUGA